AGUGAACGCUGGCGGUAGGCCUAACACAUGCAAGUCGAACGGCAGCACAGUAAGAGCUUGCUCUUACGGGUGGCGAGUGGCGGACGGGUGAGGAAUACAUCGGAAUCUACUUUUUCGUGGGGGAUAACGUAGGGAAACUUACGCUAAUACCGCAUACGACCUACGGGUGAAAGCAGGGGAUCUUCGGACCUUGCGCGAUUGAAUGAGCCGAUGUCGGAUUAGCUAGUUGGCGGGGUAAAGGCCCACCAAGGCGACGAUCCGUAGCUGGUCUGAGAGGAUGAUCAGCCACACUGGAACUGAGACACGGUCCAGACUCCUACGGGAGGCAGCAGUGGGGAAUAUUGGACCAUGGGCGCAAGCCUGAUCCAGCCAUACCGCGUGGGUGAAGAAGGCCUUCGGGUUGUAAAGCCCUUUUGUUGGGAAAGAAAAGCAGCAGGUUAAGACCCCGCUGUUCUGACGGUACCCAAAGAAUAAGCACCGGCUAACUUCGU
rnacentral:rRNA from 1 species